rnacentral:tRNA from 1 species
CCGUUUAUGGCGGGCGCUUUCGGCGUAUUUUUGCUGCGCCAGUUUUUUUUGCAGCUGCCGCAUGAGCUGUUCGAGGCGGCCCGAAUGGAC